CCCCGGGCUCAACCUGGGAACUGCGUUNUGAACUGGGUGACUAGAGUGUGUCAGAGGGAGGUAGAAUUCCACGUGUAGCAGUGAAAUGCGUAGAGAUGUGGAGGAAUACCGAUGGCGAAGGCAGCCUCCUGGGAUAACACUGACGUUCAUGCCCGAAAGCGUGGGUAGCAAACAGGAUUAGAUACCCUGGUAGUCCACGCCCUAAACGAUGUCGAUUAGCUGUUGGGCAGCAUGACUGCUUAGUAGCGAAGCUAACGCGUGAAAUCGACCGCCUGGGGAGUACGGUCGCAAGAUUAAAACUCAAAGGAAUUGACGGGGACCCGCACAAGCGGUGGAUGAUGUGGAUUAAUUCGAUGCAACGCGAAGAACCUUACCUGGUCUUGACAUGUACGGAACCCUCCAGAGACGGAGGGGUGCCUUCGGGAGCCGUAACACAGGUGCUGCAUGGCUGUCGUCAGCUCGUGUCGUGAGAUGUUGGGUUAAGUCCCGCAACGAGCGCAACCCUUGUCAUUAGUUGCCAUCAUUAAGUUGGGCACUCUAAUGAGACUGCCGGUGACAAGCCGGAGGAAGGUGGGGAUGACGUCAAGUCCUCAUGGCCCUUAUGACCAGGGCUUCACACGUCAUACAAUGGUCGGUACAGAGGGUAGCCAAGCCGCGAGGUGGAGCCAAUCUCACAAAACCGAUCGUAGUCCGGAUUGCACUCUGCAACUCGAGUGCAUGAAGUCGGAAUCGCUAGUAAUCGCAGGUCAGCAUACUGCGGUGAAUACGUUCCCGGGUCUUGUACA
rnacentral:rRNA from 1 species